GGUGUUGUGGCUCAGUGGUAAAGUACUCUCCUAACAUGUGGGAGGCACUGGGUUCAAUCCUCAGCACCACAU
rnacentral:tRNA from 1 species